rnacentral:tRNA from 1 species
GGUGAUAUAGCUCAGUUGGUAGAGUGUCUGCCUUGCAUGCACAAGACCCUGAGUUCAAUCCUCAGCAGCACAA